rnacentral:rRNA from 1 species
ACAUGCUUACAUCAUAGAGUUAAUGCAGCGGAUCCUAUUAGAACUUUGCAAUUAAGUAAGCUCGAGAUAGAGUAGUAAAGGGAUGGGUGACCUCCCAGGAGGUCCUAGUAUUUUACAUGGC